rnacentral:lncRNA from 1 species
CCUCCUCAUUUGCGCAAAUCUUCCACUUUUGAAUUACUCACAUCAGUCCUCUGGCGCUGCCGCACAAUUUCCCUAAAACCCGACCCUGAAGAGGAAGUCCGCGUUCUUUGCAUUGUCAAUGCACGUUCCAAGUUCAAUCCACCCUUACCUAACGGCUUCUACGGUAACGCCUUUGCGUUCCCCGUAGCAGUCACGACCGCGGCUAAAUUGUGCAAAAAUCCACUAGGAUAUGCACUUGAGCUAGUGAAGAAGGCUAAGUCAGACGUGACUGAAGAAUACAUGAAAUCGGUAGCGGAUUUGAUGGUGAUGAAAGGGAGGCCUCAUUUCACUGUGGUGCGGACUUAUCUCGUGUCCGACGUGACUCGAGCGGGAUUCGGAGAAGUAGAUUUCGGAUGGGGGAAAGCAGUGUAUGGUGGACCGGCUAAAGGAGGAGUAGGGGCAAUUCCUGGUGUGGCUAGUUUUUACAUACCAUUUAGAAACAAGAAUGGUGAAAAUGGAAUUGUGGUCCCAGUAUGUUUGCCUGCCUUUGCAAUGGACAUAUUCGUUAGGGAACUCAAUGGCAUGUUGAAAGGUGAAGAUCCAUUAGGCAAGUACACAAACUAUGCCAUUAUCAAACCUGCACUUUGAGAUGUUAAUCGUAACUCGUAUGCAAUAUUUUUUUACUAUAUAUGUUGGUUUUGUAAAGCAUUUUAAUAUUAUUAAAUUAUGUUAAGAGUGCUUUUUCCAAUUCCUUUCCUGCGUAAUUACAUUUUUUUGGUGCAUUACUUUAUUUUGUCGGUUGAUGACAAUUGAUGGAAAUUAUUUGAUGCCAUCUUUGUGACAAAAAUUAUUAUGUGAGAGGCACACUUAUUGUCAGUUGUAUGAGGCUUUUGUUGGCUGCCAAAUGUACAAAUGGAACCCAUUACCUUAUCUAUUUCAUCUUCUUACUCUUUUUCAUUCAUUUUAAACUUUUCCUUCUACUGUCUUUUUCCUCCUCUGUAAGCUACUUCAUUUGUCGAAGUCAUAAAUAAUUUUUGAGACUUGCCCAAAAUGUCUAAUAUGCCUAUUUUACAUUUGUAUAUUAUAUAUUUGAGAAAAAAUUAAAGUGUAUGUGGCGAGAAAAUUUUAAUUUAAUUUUUUAAUGAAAUGGAAGAAAUUGAAGGUAAUGAAAUUACAAACAAAAAAAUCGUAAAAUUUUGCGUAUUAAUUUCAUAAAAUUGGACCUUUUAUUUUUCUGUACGUAUUUUAUAGAAGACAUAAUACAUAAACAUGACCCUUAACUUGACUUCAACGGACAACUAUGCCCUCCAACUUUGAGUGUGCACAAGUAGACACUUAAACUUGUAUAAAAUUGAACAAGUAGACAUACAUGUCCUACAUGACAUAAUACAUGUAGGACGCCACGUAGGAUAUAAAAUUUUCAUGUAGGGUGCCAUGUAGGACGUAUGUGUCUAUAUGUUCAAUUUUAUACAAGUUUAAGUGUCUACUCGUGCACACCCAAAGUUAAAGGUCAUAGCGUUGACGUCAAGUUAAGGGGCAUGUUUAUGUAUUAUGCAUUUAUAUAGAAUGAUAUAUACGAAAUAUGAGAAUUUAUAUAUUUUGUUUUGUGUUUGUUUAUAAAAAGAUUAUACAUUGAUUUUUUAAUAUAACUCUUUUCAUCAUAUAUAUAUAAACUUUUUCAAAAUUUAAAAAAAUGUUAUAAUUAUUUUUUAAAAAAAAUUCUUUAUUCUAUUCAUGUGUUUCUCUUUAUAAUAAUCAUGUUGUUUGCAUUUACUUCAUAUUUUUAUUUUUAUUUUUAUUUUAAUAAUGUCAAGAAUGAAUUUUCAUGUUCAAAAUAACUCAUGUCUUUUUAAUUGAUUAUUUUUAUUUAAAUCAAGCAUCAUCAAGACAUAGUAUAUCCCAACUAAAUUUUUAACUUUUUGUAAAAAAAUAAAAUCGUUGGAACGAAUUUAUCAAAUUUCUUAAAUAAUUAAAUUCUUAGAUAAUGCAUACAUUUUUUGAAGGAUCCUAUAUUAUCAUAUGUUUUCUAAAAAUCGACCAAAACCAAAUAGAAAAAAAAAAGUUAAAAAAAAAUAAAGUGAUAAAAAAUCAACUAAAUUAAUUUAACUUGAUUUCAACAUUUGAAAAAUCAAAUUAAUUAAUUUAAUAAAAAAUUAUCCAAACUAAAUCACAGCUACUCCUACUAAAAAUAAUUAAAUUUCAACUUUUGAUAAAUUAAUUAAUUAAUACGAAAAUAAUAAAAUUACAAAAAGAAACGGAAAAGAAGAAGAAGAUAUGGAAUUGGAGAAAAAGAAUAAAGAAAUGGAGAAAAAAAUUAUUCUGGGCGAGGCACACAUACUGUCAGUUGUGUGAGGCCUCAUUUGGCUGCCACAUGUAUACUGUGGGACCCAUAAUGUACUUAUUUCCUUACUUUUUCUUUUCCAAGUUUAAUCUUUUCUUUGGAGUACUUUUCAUUUUCUUUUUUUUUGCUUGUUAAUUCUUAGUGUAAAUUUUAUUUUUAAUUCUUUGUUAUAAUAAAGAAACUUUGAAACUCACCCACGGUAUCUAUUAUAUAUUUUAUAUAUCUAUUACUAUUUAUUUGAGGGGAAACUAAAGUAAUAUGUCGAAAAAAAUUAAAUUUAUUUAUUUUUGGAUGAAUUCAAGAAAAUUGAGGAUAGUGAAAUUGAAAAAAAAUAAAAAUUCUUCAAUAAAGUAAAAAUUCAUGUAAUCAACCAAUUGAACUACUAAAAUUCAAUCGACAUUUUUUAUUACACUUAAAUAUAUAAUUUAAUUUUAAUUAUUUAAAUUUUAGUCAUUAAUUUUUAUUUUUAUUUUGGGAUUUCAAUUUUAAUCACUCAAUUCUUAGUUAUCAAAUAUGUUUUUUUUAUUUUUGUUUAUGAUUAAUAUUAAUAAUAAUGUAUUAAUGAUAUCAAACACUGAAUUAUCUUUUCUUUUUCAGAUUUGUUAAAUUUUCCACUUCUAUGGCAUGUAUCCAAUAAAUAUUGCCAAUAUUGAUUUUGUGUUUCUCGUUAAAGAUUUUCUUUAUGUUUAGUAUCUUAAAAUGUGAAACAAAACUUUUAUAGAUUCAUUUUUUUCUUGUGGGUUACGAAAAUUAAUAGAAAAAAAGAGUCAAACAAAUACAUUUGUGAAAGCACAAAAUAAAUAAUUGUAUGUAUUUAUUUUUUUCACUAAAGGUAGGACUAAAAAAAAAACUGUAAAAAUAUUGGUAAAGGAAAGGGUAAAAUUUGAGAAAUUGGAAAUGUGAGAGAGAGAAAGUGUGACAAUAAAAGGGACCCACAAAAAAUACUUGUCAAAAGAAAAUGGUGCCCUCACACACAACUAUUGUUGGUUGUGCCUCAAUCACCAUAAAUUUUUUCAGAAAUGGAGUCUUUUAACUUCUUCUUCUUUUAGUGGAACCCAGACUCCACUUGGCAAAGUAUGAAAGGAACUCAUACAACUAUUGUCUGACAUGUAAUAUAUGUGCCUCUCACAUGAUCCUCUCUUAUAAAUAUAAUAAUCUCUCGGUCCCUGGGUCAUUUAUUUCUCACUAUUUAUUAUUUUAAGGUAAAGGGUCAAAUAUGUCUCUAAACUAUUCAAAAAGGUCUAAUUAUACUCUCCGUUUAAAGUUUGGCUCACUCAUGUACUCGUCGUCCAACUUUUGGUCUAAAUAUGCCCUUAUGAGAGUUAGUUGGCAUGCUGGACAUAUCCAGUUCAUUUUUCAUUUCUUUAAAGAGCAACUUUUACAUAUAGCAAACACAAAAUUCGUAUUUGUAUGCCUAUAACAAAAUUUGCAUAAUUGCGCUCCAUAGCAAACAUAAAUAUGUAUAUUUCGCUAUACAUAUACAAAAGAAAGCAGUUGUAUAAUCUACUUUGAUAUAUAUAUACAAAAAGAUAAAUUGUAUAAAGUGAGAGAGGCGAGUGAGCGAGCGAGAUCUGGGAGAGUGACGAGCGAGAUCUGGGAGAGGGGAGAGAGGGGAACGAAAAAAUAUGUAUAUAUACAAUUUUCACGCAUUUAUACAAUUUAGACGUUUUUGUAUAAAAGUGAGAGAGGCGAGUGAGAGAGCGAGAUCUGGGAGAGGGGAACGAAAAUAUAUGUAUAUAUACAAUUUUCUCUCGCUUUAUACAAACACAAACGCACUUUAUACACUUGCGUUUGUAUAAAAAACGAGAGAGGCGAGGGAGAGAACGAGAGUGGCGAGCAAGAUUCACCAGGAGAGAGGUGAAAUAGCAACAGUUUGCUAUGAGAUACAAUUAAAUCAAACUAUAUUUAUAGCAUUUAAUUGGAAUUAAUAGUUUGUUAUUAUAUACAAUUUUCCCUUCUUUAAAUGACACAUGGAAUUGUCAUGUCAUUUUGACUUUACCACAUGACAUUUAUAUGAAAAUGGAAAGGGAUCAAUUAUGCCCCUAAAAAAUUCAAACCCAUAAACACCUAAUCCGACCAAUAAAUCAACCCCCCCUUUUAAAUAAACUACCCGACUCGUUUUCAAUAAUUUUGUUUAAAUUUUUAAUUUUUCGGUAAAUCCCAAAAAUUAGUAAUUGAUUAAAUAAAAAAUAGGAAAAAAUAUAGGAAAAAAAUAUAAAAUUAAUGCCAAAAAAUUCAACAAAUAAAUAUUGAACCUUAAAUUCAACAAUUUCAACUAAUUUUUUUAAAUUUUUAUUAUUUUUGGUAAAUCCCGAAAAUGAGUAAUUGAUUAAUAAAAAAUAGGAAAAAUAUGGAAAAAAAUAUAAAAUUAACGCCAAAAUAUCACAAAUAGAUAUAGUAACCUUAAAUUUAAAAAUUUCAAUAAUUUUUUUUAAUUUUUAUUUUUUUUAAUAAAUUACUCAUUUUCAAAAUUUGCCGAAAAAAAAUAAAAAAUUAAAAAAAAAUUGUUGAAAUUUUUGAAUUUAAGGUUACUUUAUUUGUUUGUGAUUUUUUGGCGUUAAUUUUAUAUUUUUUCAUAUUUUUAUAUUUUUUAUUAAUCAAUUACUCAUUUUCGGGAUUUACCAAAAAUAAUAAAAAUUUAAAAAAAUUGUUAGAAAUUGUUGAAUUUAAGGUUACAAUAUUUAUUUGUGAAUUUUUGGCAUUAAGUUUAUAUUUUUUUUCAUAUUUUUCCUAUUUUCUAUUAAUCAAUUACUAAUUUUUGAGAUUUAUUGAAAAAAAUAAAAAUUUAAACAAAAUUAUUGAAAAUGGGUCUGGUAGUUUAUUUAAAAAGGGGGUUGAUUUAUGGGUCGGAUUAGGUGUUUAUGGGCUAGAAUUUUUUAGGGGCAUAAUUGAUCCCUUUCCAUUUUCAUAUAAAUGCCAUGUGGUAAAGUCAAAUGACAUGACAAUUCCAUGUGGCAUUUAAAGAAAUGAAAAAUGAGCUGGAUAUGUCCAGCAGGCCAACUAAUGCCCAUAAGAGCAUAUUUAGACCAAAAGUUGGACGGUGAAGGCAUGAGUGAGCCAAACUUUAAACGGAGGGUAUAACUAGACCUUUUCAAAUAGUUUAGGGGCAUAUUUGGCCCUUUACCCAUUAUUUUAUUAUCUUCAUUUAUUUUGGAGACAAGAAAAUAGAGAGUGUAUAAAAGUUGGUAAAAAAAAGAGUUGUUAUUAAUUGUGGAGCUUUAUACUUAACUCUUGUCUAGAGUUUGUUGAGUUAUAGUUUGUGGUUAGGUUAUUGUAUCGUAGAGGGGACAAGUCAAGAAGACUAUUGUUGGACCGAUGAAAAAUAUUUGGUAUAGUGAACUCGAAUCUCCUUAAAGAGAGCGAGAUAUCCGCACCUCAAUUCGAAGAGAUUUUAAUUUCUUCAUUUUAUUUUCAAUUGUAGUUUAUAAUCUAGUAAUUUUCUUAAACACUAUAUGAUGGAUCCAAAAUGUCUUGGCAAAUUAAAGGCCAUAGAGUUUGUUUUAUAUGCCAAAAAAUCUUACAUGCAGCUUUGGUAUAAUUUCUUGUAUACAUAUAUGUCAAGUGGUUUAUGAGAAUGAAAAUAUUUAAUUUUGAUUACAAAUUUGGAUGUAAAAAAAUUACUCAAAUUCACAUGCUCGAAAAAAGUAGCAGUUAUGUCUCAAAGACCGUUGUAAAAUACACAUUAACAAUCAGUUCUCUUAUUUAUGCACUCGAAAAAAGUAAAAUACACGAUAAAUUAGUCAGGUGUGUCUGAUAGACACUUUUUGAGUGGGUAUGAUAUUCAAGAAAAGGACGGUCUUAUUGAGGUGUCUAAAUGGAAUUAAUUAUAAAAUGUGCAAGUUCAAAAGUCCGCUUAUAUAUUUAACAUAAUAUCUACAUAUUUGAAAACUUACAAAAAAUAUUACAAUUCAAUAUAAAAUCACAUAAAAAUUAUUUGACUCUCGAAACCGUGAUAACUUCGUGACAUAAAAUUAGUGCUCAAGAAAGUACUUCGAAAAUACAUUUUAUAGAAAUUUUAUAUGCAAUAUGUUAGCUAAUUAUAACAUGUGCGCAUGUUUUAAAUAAUUGACUUAUAAGUGAAAUGAGGAUAGUACGUAUUGCUCCUAUAAGUGAAACAUUAGUACCUUAUUGAACCCAUACAAGCUUAAACUUUCGUCGACACUAAAUAAAGAUUUACAUACACUUCCAUAUAACUACCCUUUCAGAAACUUGAAAAGGACUAUAACCAAUUGAAGAAAUCAACUUGAAAAAAUAAAAUAAAUCAUUACUACUAAUCAGUUGUUGAGUAUGAAAACUUUUUUUAUUAAUAUUAGAAUCUAGAUGAUUAAUAUUAAUUAGUCAAGUUUCAAAUCCUCAUAUAGUCAAUAAAAUGCAGCUGCCGUGAAAUUGGAUUCUGACAACCAUUUCCAUGUGUUACUUUUUCUAACAAAAAAACAAAAUAAUAAGUAAUUUUUGGAUUCGGCUCCCCUUCAGUGGAGCAUCCGUCCAGUUCCUUCAGUUGGGGGUUAAUUUUGCUACACGUGUCCCUCAAAUUAAUAGAUGGUUAAGAUUUGAUUAUCCAAACCAGCCAUUUUAACUAUGGUCAAUAAUUACAUACUGUAUUACUUCUCCAUUACAAUCCACUUUCCUCUGCUAGAAUAAUUCAAUAUCAGAAAAAGGAAGAAGAGCAACUCUAAGUUAUAACAUUUUGCAAAAUCAAGUAAAGAAAAACGCAGAAAUACUAUCCCAUCGUAUUUUCUCUAUUUUUUACUUUAGAAGAAAGGAAAAGAGAACUGUUUUGAUCACCAGAGAAAUGUAAAGUUAUGAGUUUUUUUACUAUUGAUGAAUUUCAAUUAAAGUAUAAUCCUUUUCAUUUUUUCGUCUUCCAACUCUAUCCUCCUUUCAUAUAUGAAAAUUUAAGAAAAUAUAUCAAACCCAGUUAAUACACCAUCGUAAUUUCAAUUAAGCUUCAACUCGUGCACCUGGCUACAUAACUAAGAAGUAAUAUUUUUUAGCUUUGUAUAGGCUAGAGAAUUCUCCUGGGUUUCAAUUGAUGUGAUAAAGGGCCAUGAACUUCCAUUUUUCCAUACUUAUUAGCCUGUCAUGAAAGCAAUUUCAGCAUAAAUUUUUUCCAGAUACUUCAAAUCUUCACCUGAUAUACCAUUGAAAGUACACGCUAGUUAUAAUUUGAGUUUUAACUUGAUGAAAUUUUUCAGUGUGCAAUUUUGUAGAUCUGAAAGGGAAAGAAGAGGGUUGGGAAUCCGUGGAGAGAGAAGGAAGAUAAUGUUGACUAUGGUUAAAUGGUUGGUUUUAGCAAAUAAUCUGAACCGUCUAUUAAUUUGAGGGAUACAUGUAGCAAAAAUUAACCCCCAACUAGAGGAACUGGACGGAUGCUCCACUGGAGGGGAGCCAAAUCCGUAAUUUUUUUGUUAUGUUUUUCUUUAAUUUUUAGCAAUUUUUUAGUUUUAUGUUUCCGCAUGACAUAUUUAAGACAUAAAGUUAAAUGUUAUUUUGGUAUAUUAACAUAUCUUAAUUCAUGUCAAAAUAUGAUAAGCAGAUUAAAAUGAAAGAAGUAUUUUUUUUAUAUUUAAUACUCCAAUAAUUUAAUAAUCUUCUCAUUCUAUAUAUCUUAAUGAGAUAAUUUAUAAUCACCUACUAGUUUCUAAUUUAUUUUUUUACUUUGGUUAUUUUUAUUGCUUUACUAUAUAUAAGUACUUUUUUUUCCCAAUAUUUUCAUAAUAGCAUUUAACUGUUGCACCGUAAUGUUUAAUAGGAUCCGGCUCCUCUCUAUUUUCUCCAAGUUCAUGCUUUGAUGUGAGACACAUGGUAUAUGUAAGAAUUAAUGGCUAAGAUUUGAUUGAUUAAAAUAAGAUUCUAAUUAUAAUUUAGAUAAUUAAUAUUUCAUAAAAAUAGUAAUGUCACAAUCAUACAAAUAUAUUAUCUUGUCCAUAAAUAUAUUAUAAAAAAAAUUCUUUUUUUUUUUCUUUCUCUACGAGUAUUUACGUUCUGUUUUUUUUUUAAUUGAGUUAGUGUUAGAUUGCAGUUUUGAUCUUUCUCUUUAAAAUUGGUUAUCACAUAUAAUUAAUAGCAAAAAUACUCACAGGAAAAUAAUAAUAUAAAAAUAGAAAAUAUUUAACAUAUUUAGGACAAAAACAGAUGAUAAUACUAGCAGGAAAAAAAUUAGAUAAAAGAGAAUUUAAGUCAAAGUUGUUUAAUUUGUCGAAUUAUAAAUCAUUUCAUUAAAAAUAAAAUAAAUAUUUUAAAGUUAAACUAUUACUACUAAAUAUAAAAAUAUAUCAUUCUUUUUGUGUCAAUGAUAUAAAUUGAGAGAGAGAACUAUAAUUUAUGCCUAGCUAAGAGCCAUCAGAUAAAAUUAAUACUAUCGUAGUAAUAUAAACUACCUUAUUUUAACAUGCAAGUAGCCUGUUACUUGCUCUAUAUAUAGCUUAUGCUGUUUAGGAAAUUAUGUACACAACCACUAAUCCAAAAUCUUCUUCUUCAUAUCUCGAUUACUCCAUUUUGUUCAGUAAUGGAUUCAAUUAAGCAAUCAUCAUCACAAUUAGUGUUCACAGUGAGAAGGCAAAAAACAGAGCUAAUUGCUCCAGCAAAGCCAACUCCACGUGAAACUAAAUUACUAUCAGACAUUGAUGAUCAAGAAGGUCUUCGAUUCCAAAUUCCGGUCAUUAACUUUUAUCGUAAGGAUUCGUAUUCGAAUUCUUCUAUGGGAGGAAAUCAUGAUCCUAUAAAAGUUAUUAAAAAAGCUAUAGCUGAAACACUUGUUUUUUUUUAUCCGUUUGCUGGUCGGCUCCGGGAAGGAAAUGGCCGGAAACUGAUGGUGGAUUGCACCGGGGAAGGAGUUAUGUUUGUGGAGGCGGAUGCUGAUGUUACGCUUGAAGAAUUUGGAGAUGAACUUCAGCCUCCAUUUCCGUGUUUGGAAGAGCUUCUUUAUGAUGUUCCUGGCUCUGCUGGAGUUCUUAACUGUCCUCUGCUGCUUAUUCAGGUAGUUAUUUCUAUCAGUAUUAAAUUUUGAACCCAGUUAUUAACGUGUGAGAUCGUUGUGUUAGAAUCAUGAACAGGGAGCUUUUGUGUUUGACUUUUUGCUCAGAGUAGUGCAUUUUUCAUGACAAAAAUGUUGUGUCGAGACAAAAAAAAUUUUGGUUAAUUUUCAAUAUUUGAUUGUUAAUUAACCAAUAUACCAAUGAAUUAUAUGCAGGUAACUCGUCUCAAGUGUGGUAGUUUCAUAUUUGCAGUGCGAUUAAACCACACAAUGAGUGAUGCAACUGGUCUUGUUGAAUUCAUGACUGCCGUUGGUGAAAUGGCACGCGGGGCAUCUGCUCCAUCUACACUUCCAGUCUGGUGCAGGGAAUUGCUAAAUGCUCGAAAUCCGCCUCGAGUGACACGCACACACCAUGAGUACGACGAAGUUCCCGAUACAAAGGGUACAAUUGUCCCAUCAGAUGACAUGGUUCACAAAUCAUUCUUUUUUGGCCCUUCUGAGGUCUCAGCACUUCGUCGAUUUCUCCCACCUCAUUUGCGCAAAUGUUCCACUUUUGAACUGCUCACAUCAGUCAUUUGGCGCUGUCGAACAAUUUCUCUAAAAGCCGAUCCUGAAGAGGAAGUUCGCGUGCUUUGCCUUGUCAAUGCGCGUUUCAAGUUCAAUCCACCCUUACCUAAUGGCUUCUACGGCAACGCCUUUGCGUUCCCCGUAGCAGUCGCGACCGCGG